rnacentral:lncRNA from 1 species
CCCCCCCCCUUGGGUUGUGCCAUGGCGGAGAUCGUUGUGGGCUAUACUCGGCCUUGUCUUAGGAUGGACCUGAGCCCUAGGACCAUGCCUCAGGACUACCUGGUAUGAUGACUCCUUGCUGUCCCCAGUCCACCUGGCCGUGCUGCUGCUCCAGUUUCAACUGUUCUGCCUGCGGCUAUGGAACCCUGACCUGUUCACCGGACGUGCUUGUUGCACCCUCGACAACUACUAUGAUUAUUAUUAUUUGACCAUGCUGGUCAUUUAUGAACAUUUGAACAUUUUAACAUCUUGACCAUGUUCUGUAUAAUAUCCACCCUGCACAGCCAGAAGAGGACUGGCCACCCCUCAUAGCCUGGUUCCUCUCUAGGUUUCUUCCUAGGUUUUUUGGCCUUUCUAGGGAGUUUUUCCUAGGGAGUUUUUCCUAGCCACCGUGCUUCUUUCACAUGCUUUGCUUGCUGUUUGGGGUUUUAGGCUGGGUUUCUGUACAGCACUUUGAGAAUAUCAGCUGAUGUACGAAGGGCUAUAUAAAAAUACAUUUGUUUGAUUUGAUUUGAGGGACAUGAUUUUAGAAACUACACUGCUCAAAAAAAUAAAGGGAACACUAAAAUAACACAUCCUAGAUCUGAAUGAAUGAAAAAUCUUAUUAAAUUAUUUUUUCUUAACGUAGUUGAAUGUGCUGACAACAAAAUCACACAAAAAUAAUCAAUGGAAAUCCAAUUUAUCAACCCAUGGAGGUCUGGAUUUGGAGUCACACUCAAAAUUAAAGUGGAAAACCACACUACAG